AUGUCCACAGCUGAGGCAUGCUGGGAAACUGUGAGGACACAGACAGAGAGGGUCCAUCUCAGCAGCCUUAUUUCAUGUCUCAGUACUGGUCCAUCAGUUAAAGAGUUAAAGAGGAAAGAAACCAAGAUUAAAGAGGUUGGAUCAGUCAGAUCAGAGGGAGGAAGCUUCUCUUACCGUGCACGAGGAUCACAAACACCACCAACAUCUUCAUCUUCCUGUAGAAACUCCAACAACCACAAAGUCUCCUUCAACCUGCUUCUUCCUAAACUAAGAGCAGCUUCAGAAACAGCUUCAGGACGUCAGUUCACAGCCAGUUGUCACUUUCCUCCUCCUGAUCAUCGAGCGACACUCAGAGAAAACUUUAGUUUCUCUUUAAGCUGUUUCCAGAGAAGCAGCUGCUGGAAGGUAAAGAAACAGCUUCAACUGAAGGAUCAAGUUUCAGGUUGAACAGCUUUACAAGAAAAAACCAUAGUUCAGAGAUGAUGGAACGAGGGAGGAGGUGUGUCCGUCUGUACUAAUCAGCUGUUAUCUCCAUAUUAAAGGUACAGUCCACCAUUUCAUUCAUUACACACUGAGUCCAGUUCAGCUACUUCCUCCUGACAUUCAUCUACCUGUCCUUCCUCAGUGGGAGCUCCAAAAACCUCAGGUGGGUUUUCACAGUCCUCACUCUGUCAAUGUAAUUACAGCGGAUCAGUACAAGGAGCCAUCAUCCACAUGCACGGCUGGAAUACAGUGUGCUCUUUAUGUCCGAAUGUCCUCGCUGCCCAGUGCUGUUCCUGAUGUCCUGUUUCUGAAUGGACUCACUUGUUCUGAUGAGAACAGGAUCUGACUCGUCCGACUGAGACAUGUAGAGACUGGAACUGAAUCCGCCUGAAAAUAAAAGGAGUCAGUGUGACGAAGAAGCCUGAAUGAUCCAAUCUGAUCAGACACACACGUUUGUCUGAGUGUGUUGUUGUGUUUCAUACUUGAUUCCAUCUGUGUCAUAAAACUAAAUGAAAACAGUUCUGGAAGCUGCUGCUCCAAUUAAAACUAAGAAAGUAAUGAGACAAAAGGUCGAAAAGGUUGCCUCACAGCUGGACGGAGCCAGGUUCCAGUCCUCCAUCCACAGACUUUGUCCCUAAAUGUUUGUUUGUCUCUCUAAGUUCACAUGUGAUGGACUGAGGACAUGUACACCGCCUUCGACCAAUCUCCAAUCCAACAAAAGUGACCACACAGUCCGACUGACAGCUGAUCUACAGCUGAUCUUCAGCUGAUCUAUAGCCAAUCUACAGCCGAUCUACCGUCAUCAAUAACAAAUGACGGUUCAGAGGAGAGGACGUCUCCUGUCUCCAAACACCCUGUUUCCCCCGUUCCUCUCUCCUCAUAUCAUUUCCUUGCAUCCCUACAUGAAUCUUUAGUGGAGGAACUAAGACACAAGGAGAACGUGGAUAGAAUUAAGGGAACUGGGAUCCACGUUCUGAUGUGUCUGUGUCGUGGUGAUCAGUCCAAUCCAGCAACUGCAGAGUGAACAGAUGAAUCUCUAGAAACUGCUGCUAUCAAACCAUAAUCCAACCUUUAAUAUAAAAAGAAUCCAGACAGUUUUACCUUCUUCUCUUACUGGAUCAACCAGAUCUCAUCAAUCAAGUUUUAGGGUUCAGAGUUCAGGAACCAAGUCUCAAACCACUGACCCUGUGUUCCAUUGAUUAUUGUUUCACCAUGUGCUCUACAACUUUCUCUAAAGAAGAAAUGAAUAAACUAACUACUAGUUCAAGACAUUACCCAUAAUCCUCAUCAGCUCCUGACCAAUCCGAGUUUUACAGCAGCUCCGCUGUGACAUUAACAGUCUCUCCUGUUGUGUCUUGUUCCAAACUUCUCCUCUUUAAUUCUGGCUCGAUGAGAAGAAGCUCAGUGAAUCUGCUGAAAGUUGAACUUGUGUAAAAACUGCUCUGACUUUGUAGAGAGAAGUUUCCCAUUCACUUCAAUACAGUCAGUUUGAUCACAGCAGCAUCUGGGGGACGUUAGAGGAACUGCAGCUCAACACACUUUAAGGACAAAUCAAGUGUUGUGUGAACAGUAGAAAGUGAGCUGGUGAUUGGAGGAAAUGUUUGGAGAAGUGUGACAGUGUUUUAGAAAAUGUGUUGAAUCAACAGAUAAAAACUGUCACAUGUUGAGUGAGAGAAGAAAACAAAGAGAUUCAAAGUGUGGAGAGUUUCCUCCAGAGUGAGACCUCUGUCAGAGUUCAGAGGAUCUAAAGCAGAAGUCACCAAAAAACCACAAGAACAUGUUGGAGUCCAGAUCACAGAGCUGAUCAACAUGUGACAUCACACUGUGACAUCACUGAUCAGCACCCAUCAAUAGGGAUCAAUAGUGAGUGUGUAGACUGUGUGAGAGUCAGGAGGAGUCCGAGGGAAGAAGAAGAAGACAAAGAGUCCUCCUGUCUUCAUCCAUCGUCCAUCAGCUCCUUCACUUCCAGUUUGUCUCUGAUCCAAAGUCCGAUCAGAUCAAUAAUCAAAGAUCGAUCAACAGACCGAUCAAACUGAUUGAUCAGCAUCAAUCAGAGGAGUUGGAUCAGUGGAGCUGCUUCUGUUCCUGAUGUCCACUGUUUGAUCUGUGUCCUGAAUUCUGUCUGUAGAGGAGAGAGAGACGGUUAGAGAGGGAGACGGGUAGAGAGGGAGACAGGUAGAGAGAGAGACAGGUAGAGAGGGAGAGAGGUAGAGAGGUAGAGAGAGAGAGACAGGUAGAGAGAGAGAGACAGGUAGAGAGGGAGAGACAGGUAGAGAGAGAGACAGGUAGAGAGAGACAGGUAGAGAGAGAGACAGGUAGAGAGGGAGGGACAGGUAGAGAGAGAGACAGGUAGAAAGAGACAGGUAGAGAGAGAGAAGUAGGAUCGAAAAACACUCCGAUAAAACACAGGUAAAACUGAAACAGCAAAACAAGUGGAGUCCAUUAAAAACAACGCAGAGUCCAGGUGAAGCGCGCCAGCCGUCUGUAGAAUGGCAGAGGCCACGGGUCUCCAGACCACAUCCUCAGGUCCAGAGAGAAACCUUUGGACAAACUGCAGUCUGAAAGCAGACACUCUGCUGGACAAGUGGAUCAGACUUUGACCGCCUUGAUCUUUGGGUAAAAACAAAACACACUGUGGCACCCAGUGAAGCUGGUCCCAGAAAAAAUUCACAAUGAUGGACUGAACCCGUUUAAGAAGAUCAACAGGGGGGUCCACACAGGCCAGGCGAUGCCAGAGCCCACUGGCCACCAAGUUGUUGAUCACCAGAGCCCUCCCCCUGUACGACAUCUGUGGCAGUAACCACCUCCACUUUUGCAACCUCCCCUCCACCUUCUCCACAACACCAGCCCAGUUCCUAUUUACACUCUCUUCAUUCCCCAAAUGCACACCCAAGUAUUUAAAUCCCCCCCUCUGCCAGGUGAGACCCCCCGGUAGAGUGGGAAGCCCACUCCUCCACCUGCCGACAGCCAACGCUGCACUUUUGUGCCAGUUGACCUUAGCAGAUGAGACAUUGCCAAAAGCCGUUACUAUAUUUUCUAAAGUACGGAUCUCUGUUUGUGACUUAACGAGAACGACAACAUCAUCUGCAUAGGCCGACAGCACAGGGUGGGCCGUACAAUUGGGUAAAAACAAACCACUAAUGGAGGACCGGACCUGACAUAAAAGAGGCUCUAUGGACAGGGCGUACAACAUCCCUGAGAGCGAGCAGCCCUGUCUGAUGCCUCGUUGCACUUUAAAAGGAGCGCUCAGCUCACCAUUGACCUUCAGUACACUCUCAAUGUCCUGGUACAGAACCUUGAUCAUAGCAAUCAAACCAGGGCUGAGACCAAACCUCUCCAGAGUCUUCCAGAGAUACGGGUGCUCGACCCGGUCGAAAGCUUUUUCUUGGUCCAGCGAAAUCAGACCCAAGUCUAUUCCCAAUGAACCAGAGAGGUCCAAAACAUCUGGAAUUAAAAUCACAUUGUCAGUGAUUAACCUAUCGGGCACACAGUAAGUCUGAUCCCGAUGGACCACCUGGUCCAUCACCUCUCGCAGCCUGUUGGCCAGAGCCUUGGACAGGAUCUUAUAAUCCGUACAAAGCAGUGAGACGGGACGCCAGUUCUUAAUGUCCUGAAGGUCACCAGCCUUCGGCAGCAGGGUAAGAACUGCUCGUCUGCAGCUGAGGGGCAACGAGUCCUCCAUUAAGCUUUCGGCAACAACACCGAGCAGAUCUUGCCCCAGCUCAGGCCAAAAAGCCUUGAAGAACUCAACAGAGAGACAAUCGAGCCCAGGAGCCCGCCCUCCCUUCAUACUCUGUAAGGCCACAGACAGCUCCUGCAACGACAGAGGUUCGCCGAGCGCCAUGUUAACCUCCUCAGAGGCCUGGGGAAGAUCACCACAGAAAGUCUCGUAGCACGCCAAGUCCUCAGUGUACUCACUGCUGUACAGGUCUCUGUAGAACUCCACAGCCCUCCCCCUGAUGUGACCAGGUGCCAUCAGCACAGCCC
ensembl:lncRNA